UAGGGAAUCUUCGGCAAUGGACGGAANNNUGGACCGAGCAACGCCNCGUGAGUGAAGAAGGUUUUCGGAUCGUAAAGCUCUGUUGUAAGAGAAGAACGAGUGUGAGAGUGGAAAGUUCACACUGUGACGGUAUCUUACCAGAAAGGGACGGCUAACUACGUGCCAGCAGCCGCGGUAAUACGUAGGUCCCGAGCGUUGUCCGGAUUUAUUGGGCGUAAAGCGAGCGCAGGCGGUUAGAUAAGUCUGAAGUUAAAGGCUGUGGCUUAACCAUAGUAGGCUUUGGAAACUGUUUAACUUGAGUGCAAGAGGGGAGAGUGGAAUUCCAUGUGUAGCGGUGAAAUGCGUAGAUAUAUGGAGGAACACCGGUGGCGAAAGCGGCUCUCUGGCUUGUAACUGACGCUGAGGCUCGAAAGCGUGGGGAGCAAACAGGAUUAGAUACCCUGGUAGUCCACGCUGUAAACGAUGAGUGCUAGGUGUUAGACCCUUUCCGGGGUUUAGUGCCGUAGCUAACGCAUUAAGCACUCCGCCUGGGGAGUACGACCGCAAGUUG
rnacentral:rRNA from 1 species